CCUCAUCACAUUGAAAUGCCAGUUCCUAUAUGAUCACCGAAGUUAAACAAUAUCAAGCUUGGUCUGUACCUAGAUGGGUGAUCGCUUGGGAGUACCAGGUGCUAU